AUGCAGGUUCUAUUUUAUUGUUCCGAGACAUAUGAUGAUAGCAUUGAGAAUGAGAAAUCUUUGCAAAAUGCACGUAUUAUUAAGGAGUUCUGGAACGAUUACUACGCUAAGCUGUUGGAUAUUGACAAAACGAAAAAGACUUCUAAUGUUGAUAUGUAUCAGGAUGAUGUUAGAAAGUUGUUGAUUAAUGAAAAGAAGAAUCAAAAUGGUGUGUUUUCCGAUACUGAAUUAAUAGAUUUACAGAAUCAAAUUGCAAAUUGCACAAUGAAGUUCGAUGAGGAUAAUCUAUUUAAAGUAACUCCUAACAUAGUAAAGUUCUUGAUUAAUAAAGAUCAGCCUAACGCUAAGCAAUAUCUAAAGGGUUGCCUACCAAGUAGCUUACCUAUGCUUAAGAUGUGUGGUAUCUAUACGCUUGAGGCUAUCAUGAUUCAUGUACUAGGCUUGGUAUUUAACACUCUUCAGGAAUCAUCCGCAGUUAAGGCAGCUAGAUUUAUAGAUCAACUUAAUUCAACUGUGCGAGAACAAGCGAGGUUUCUACAAUACAAAGCACCAGGUAGUGGUAAGGUGGAAGCAGUACUCACUAGUAAGGUAGAAUCAGUUAAGGAUGUUGUUCAGCCCAAAGGUGCUAGCAAAAAAGAGAAAAAGAAAAAAUUCAGUGUCAUUAUGAUAUCGGGAAAUACUUGCUCCAAUUCAUGA
rnacentral:rRNA from 1 species